CUACUUACAAGGACCACGGGCAGUUACCUGUUUGCAGUUGCUAGUUCUUCACUGGUAUACAUGACAUCCAAGGCAUAGUAGGAUGGGCAUGGUUCAAUGGAAAUCUAUUAUCUAUGAGGUGUCAAGCGCGUCUAAUCUUUGUGAGAUACAGCAAUUUACUGCAAUUCAAAGACUUGUAAGCGGGAAUCCAAAAGAAUUUAUCAUCUUCAGGGGACUUCCUGAUCAUGAGAAAGUAGGAUUCUUGAUUCUUGUUGUCCAUUCGACGAAAAAGGACACUGGACUUGA